GUGUGUGUGUGUGUGUGCGCGCGCGCACAAGCAUGUGCAUGGGAGAGGAAGGUAGAAAAAUGGGUGAUUUGUAGGUUUCAAAUUCUCUUCCAUUUUAUGGUGCGGAGUUGCAUGCUAUUUCCAAGACAGACAUCGUAUGAGAAACAGAUUUCAUUAGAGAGUCUGAAAUGACAGGAAUGGUUUAAAUUUAGCACUGGGGAGGGAAUGCUGCCUCGAGGUAAUGUACAUCUAAAAUGAUUCCAAAUGUUUUAUCCGAUGCCAGCUGUGCAGCCUUCUGGAUAAACCAUUUCACGUCAUAUACUUCACAGCAUUUAGGGCAGAUGUAUCACUCAGCCACAAAGAUCCUUAACUGAAAGCAAGUGGCCGCUGUGGCGCUGCCGCCUCAAAAACAGCUGUCCCCUCACUGCCACCCUUCACGUUUUCAGUGCCAGCACCUCAUCCCACCAGCCUCAGUGACUGGGCUCAAUGUGAGGCAGACCAAUAAAUUCUGCCCGCUGAGACUGGGUUUCCCUGGGUACACUAGCCAUUCACUCCUAUUUAUUUUCCUUGGGACCCAGUGAAUCAUCUUUUGUACCGUCUUAUGUGGUGUGACUCAUUUCAGGCUAUUUUCUGCCCAGCCUCAGCCGAGAGGCUCAUUUCUGGAGGGCCCUUUCUCAUCUGUUUAAUGUCAUGAAUCACAACACUGCGCCUCAUAGAAACUCCACUCUCACUUUACCAGAGAUUAGUAUAAACAAUAAGAGUAGCCUAGCAAAGAGGUCGCCUUCGUGUGGGUGAAGCCCAGGCCUCUCCCGGGGUUAUUUUAAGACCACAAUUUGCAUAUUGCUUUACAGCAAUGAUAAUGUUGGCCUUUGCAAUUUUGUUCCCUUUGCUUUUAUCAGGAGGCAUAUAUGUAUCGAAUGCACUGUUGAAACCAAUAUCUGCUUCGUUUUCAGCACAAAAGUGGCUGGUGGUCAUUCCCACUUCCUAGUGGCCUCCCCUCCCGUCCCUUCUUCCAUUUUCCUUUUCUCCAUGUACAUUUUGGAGCAAAAAUAAAAAAAAUUAUUUCUCCUUCCGUGCCCUAAUAUAGGACAAAACAGUUUUUCCAGAGGAAGCGUUACUAGUUUAAUCAGAAAAAUAAGAGUCUGUCCGGUAUACUUAUAACUGAUCAACUUUAUGUUUUAUGGAGAUUGGAGAACUUUUGGUGUGUCUCUUAAUAUUACAGAAGCUAAGAAUAAUCAGUGCUUCCACUUAAGGACGAGGGGGAAGGUGCAGAAUGUCUGGUGUCUGGUUCAGGUGCUCGGGGCGCGCUUGGCCGCCUUUACUCAGUGGAGACUCCUGAUAGCGGGCUGGGUGUGGCCCCGGGGGCAAAUGUUGAAUCUUCUCAGCAGAACAAAGGAAAUCUUUUCCCCAUUGUUUUAUUUAAUUGCUUUCAUUUUUUAGGGCACAUUUUAGACUUAUACAAGGGUAAGACUCAGCUUUUCCAGGAUUAGGAAACAGAUUGUAAAAUAUUUUGCUGGGUCAGGACACAAAAUACCUCACCCUGAGACCAGCGCAGAGUCUUACUCAAGUCUCCAAUGCCUCGAAAGUUUAGGUUCUGAAGGAGAUGUGACAGGAAACGGUUGCAUCCAUGACAGUUAGUUACCUAGUGAGCAAAGAGGUCCUAUGUAAUCUAUGCAGUGUUCCUGAGGAAUGCAGAGUGCUGCUAACGGUGUCCCCACUGAUGGGAGCCACCCCUGGCUGAGAGGCGCGGGGCCGCUCCCACAGCUGCAGCCCAGAGAGCGUAAGGCACGGCAUGCUUCUGCUAUGUGUUUUAAAUUAGCUUAGUCAAGCUAUAAAUAUUUUUGGUAAUUUAUAAAAAAACUGAAAUGUUUCUGUCUAAGCCAGAAGACUGGGUUGUGCAACACAAAUUAACUUCUUAUGGAGGUGGGUCUGGAAAACAGAAGAAGUGUGCUUCUAACCAUGGCUGCUGCAGUGGGGUUGCAGAUAAUUGGUCAAAUUUGCUUUGAGAAUUUCUCUGUUACCUCAGGCAUGAAAUUCGGAUUCCUGCACAUGGGCUCUACUAACCUCCGCUAAAUGCCAACACCAGUCUCAUGUGUAUGUCCCCAUCUCUUGAUGCGUACUUCCUCACGAGCUGCCUCUAAACUGACGGGUUUUACCCCAUUUUCCCUAAUUAGAAUAAUUUCUGUCUUCCUUUCCGCCAUGCCUGGUAUCCCUGUUUCUCCCGUCAAUACCAAGGCAGACCCUCCCAUCCCAAGAACUUUUUCUGAAGAAAUUGAAACAAUUUUUAAUCACUUAUGAUCACCUCUUUGUAUUCCAUAAGCAACACUGGUUAUAUAUACAGCAGACUCUGGCAUUCACUGGAGAUCCAUUCCUUGAAACAGGAAAAUGAUCCAAAUAUCAUACUAUAUUAGAAUGAUGAUAAUGUUUGAGAGGGUGGACACGAGAUGACAGACACACAGCUUUUUUUCUUCUCCUCUCUCUUCCUCUUUUCCUUCCCUCCUUCUUGCUUUAUAACUUGAAAGAGACAAGGAAAUACUAGGUUCAGCUGGAGCUCUUGAGCUGGACACACCUGGAAACUCUGGGCUGAACGGGAUGAUGCUAGCAUUUUUCAGACUUUGGAACCAGUCUGGAUGCCUUAACUGGAGCUCUGGUCAACCAGAAUGUGGCGGGCACCCUGGUAACAUUACCUAUUGUCAUUUCCCAUUUUCCUGGUCAAGGAAACUAAAUGUCAGCAAGGCAGAUAACACCUAAUUAUUACUGUAAUAUACAGAGAGCAGUGCUGGCACUAGGGUGCCUGAGGAAGAUACAAAAAGGAAAGACUUAAAAGAAACUUACAAAGUGCACAAUACUCCAGAUCACCAAAUCUGUAUCAUCUGUUGAGUUGUGUCUUAAGUGAUGAUGGGUACCACCCAGCUACAGUUACACACAAUACUCUUUUGGUCCUAAUGACUGGAAGAGGCACAGAGUAGUGGGAACUGGAUCAUAGAGGUGGGGCUGGACAUGAAGUUCAGAUAUAAUAAGGUGGUGAAAUGCAGAGCUUAGUGAUGGCUGGCAGGGGAAGGGAAGGCCUGGUCUCUGAUGACAUUCAGGCUUUACCCUCAGGAGGGAGACAGGGUGGAUGGGGGUGUCAUCCCAGUGAAAGAGGAAUAGGUCAUUCUAAGUGCAGCAAUGGAACUGGUGAUGUCUGCAAUUCACUUGGACUACUGAAGACACUGCAAAGUCAACAUGGCCAAAUUAGAACUCUUCAUUUUCAAUCCUCAUCCCCAAUCCUAUUUCUUAACCGUUUUUCUAAGUCAGUAGCAUCCAACAUCCAUUCAGUUACUCAAAAGAAAAAACUUCAGAGAACUUCUUGUAUUUUUUUGUUUUUGUUUUUUUGCUGUUACCCCAACUGUCAAUCUACUUCCAAAAUAACCCAAAGACAUUCCUUUCUCUGUAUCUCCACACAAAAUAAAAGAUGAACUCCACUCAUGUUUUAAUGGAAUAAUCACAGUUCUUUUCUCCUUUUAAAACAAAAAUAGGAAACUAACAUCAAAGUGUGGAUUAUGAGGCCUUGGGGCUCCCGGCACAUCACAAUAUCUGGUACCCUCUUCUUUUCCAAUUCCACACCCUUGUACAGUCACCAGUGGCCUAUAUUAUGUACAUGAGAUCUCUCCUUGGCAGAGAAAAAGAAGACAAAAUGAUAUCAUGUAACUUUGGACAGGGUAUAAUUUUUUCCCAUCUAGUGUGGUUUAUGUCUACAUUUUAUGAGCUUCUCUCCUUCUCUCUUUUCCUCUCUCCACUCCCAUUUCCCCUCAGCCCAAAUUCUUCCCAUGAAUCCCUCUUUAGCCAUCAAUAAGGAGACCCUCAAUGUGCAAAUCCUAUGGUACUUCUAUUUGCCAUAGGAGGAUAUCCAUCUGGGGAUAGUUCUGCCAGAAAGACAAGAAAGACUGAAUAAAUCUCCCAACUCAGAAUUCAGCAUAGAGACAACACAAAGGGUCAGAGCCACAUUUUUUUCUUAUUCCUUUCUUGACUAUAAAAUUUUGUUAAGAUUUUGUUUACUUCAAAGUAUCUAUAAACUCUCUGGAUAAGAACUCAAAACACAUUUCAUCUGUUUAGUUGUAAUUUCAAUUCUAACUAAUAUAAAGAUUGUUUUCUAAGGUGAACCUACCUCAAAUACAGUAAGCCACAAUGAUUUCUAGUCAGUCAUGUGAUUAACUUUUCACCAAGUAGAUUAGCAAUCAAGAAGUUUUAAGUAAUAUGACUGUAAAUUACUCCGUUUCUGAACAGUCCAAGAUGUCUCAAGGGAUUUCUGAAUUUAUGUACAUAUUUCUUAAAAGGCAAAUAUGUGAAGUAUUAAAACAUAAUGCAGCUUUACAAAAUUAACCUAGUUUCCAUGUAAAUGCCCAGGAUUCAACUCUUGUUCUUUUUUGUUCUUUUUUUUUUUUAAUUUUUUUUUUAACGUUUAUUUUUGAGACAGGGAGAGACAGAGCAUGAACGGGGGAGGGUCAGAGAGAGAGGGAGACACAGAAUCUGAAACAGGCUCCAGGCUCUGAGCUGUCAGCACAGAGCCCGACACGGGGCUCGAACUCUCGGACUGCGAGAUCAUGACCUGAGCCGAAGUCGGACGCUUAAUCGACUGAGCCACCCAGGCGCCCCUCAACUCUUGUUCUUUAUUCACUCCAUUAAUACAUUCAUACUUCCAUUCUUUCUGAGUUCAAGAUAAUUUGAAGACACUUGUUCUGUAUUUAUUUAAGUCUAAAUUUAAGAACUAUAAUUUCUGAUGUAUACUUUUUGAGAAAAAUUAUAUUUAAAAAAUCUAUUCAUCUCCUUAUAGGCAAUUAUUUCUUGGAGUCACUAUUAAUGCUUAUACACAAAAAGAUUCUAAUUUUAGUUAUAAAAUUUACUCAGCCAAAAAUUCUUUCUAGGGUGCAAAGAAACAGAGAAAGGUUUACAUGAUAGAAGCACAAACCUUCCUAAAUCCAGUCAUUCAUAUCACUUACUAUAGAUAGCAACAAAAACUGGUAAAAUUAAGCUCCAGACCUAUAUCCAAAGGCCAUUUGGUCCAAUCUUACUCUCACAUCUCAAACAAAACAUAACCAAGUAGAAUUAAAUCCUAUUUAUUUCCAAGCCUCUCCAAUUGAUACAUUGUUAUAAAAAUCAAGGCACAAGAAUAGAGAAUCAGCAGCCCCUUCAGGAUAGAGGUUUCAAAUAUGUAGAAUAUGAAAAUUUUGUACAGGAAAGUUGCAAGGCUAUACAAAGAAUUAAGAAUAAGGGACAUGUAUCUUAAUGUAAUUGGCCUAAGUUCAAUAUAGAUGGAGAAGAAAUGGAUUAAUUAGCUUAUAGAGGCCUUUUGCAUACCUCUCUCAAAUUGUAACUGAUUCAGGAAAUUUGGAUUUAAGCCAUCCUGUACAUGGCAUUACCCUAUGGAAAAGAAUCAGAUCUGAAGUAGGUCUGUGAAAAAUUUGGGCAAAUGCAGGGUUUCAUUUUGGGAGAAUCUUUUUUUUUUUUUUUUUUUUUUUUUUGAGACAGAGAGAGAGAGAGAGAGAGAGAGCAAGCGAGCAUGAGCAUGAAUGGAAGCAGGGAGGGAAAGGUAGAAGGAGAGUGGGGCUUGAUCCCAUGACUGUGAGAUCAUGACCUGAGUCAAAAUCAAGAGUCAGAUGCUUAACCGACAGAGCCACCCAGGCACCUCACAUUUUGGGGGAUCUUUUAAGAAAUAAUGUUUCUUCUCUUUCUGAGAGCACUGAGAAACCUACUAUGAAACAAUCCUGUUUCUCAUUUUGGAUAGCAUGAUUUGUGGAUGUAAAGUCUGGAACUGCCAUAGCUAUUUUGUCAACAUAAGGGACACACUGGCUUGAGGAUAAAGCUAAUAACAUGGAAGGCAGGACAGAGAAUUAGAAAGAAACUGGUUCGCUGAUGACAUCAUUGAACCAUGAAGCCUACCUUGCCUCUGGACUUUUCAGUCAUGUCAGCCAAUGAGCCCCUCCACCCUUUAUUACUUAAGACAGUUUGAUUUUUGGUUAUUUGCAGUUUGAGUCCUAACUGGUGACUCCUGAGUCAUUAGCAGAUAACUAGUAUGUAAGCCCAGGUAGAAACUGUAGAGAGAAAAGACUGAAUCCUGGGGCAUUCAAACCUUAGAUAUUGGGCCAGGAAGAGGAACAUAAAAGAGAGAGGAGAAACUGACAGAAGCUUGAAAACCACGAGCUUGUCCAUGUUUGGGUGGAACCAUUCAGAGAAGAAUACAUAGAGGCUGCAGGAAAGAAGAAAAAUGGCAAAAGCAAUUCCUUGUACAGGUGAAGGCGCUGGGUGCCAGAGAGUGAGGGGAGAUGCUUCACAGGGGCAGCAACAUUCCUUUUCUUGUCAAAGGGGAGAGCACCGUACAUAAGCACGGAUAAAAGCAGAUGUGUGGAUUUGUGAUCAGAAGAUGGAGAAGCCCCUGUUCGAUUUUCUGAGCUGAGUAUAAGUGAGCCUCAGAGCAUCAUCUGUCAGGACACAGGGAAAGAGUGUGGCCAAACAUGUGGUCAUUACUUCUCAGCAGGCAGAAAUUUUUUUUAGGCUCUUGGAAAAGGACCUUUUAUAGUCUGGAAGUCGCAAAAACUCUUCAUAGUGAAUUUUUUAUCUGUUAAGUUAAAGGGAUGCUUUAUAACUGUUUUGUAAAUUUGUUGUGCAUAAAUGGGGUUAGAGGUGAUGAUGGAGGUAGGCAUUUCUUUUACUAUCAGUUUAAGGUUUAGGCAACUAUAUUCAGAUUCUCUUAAAGCUGGUUUUAUAAAAAGGAAAUUUAAAACUUCCCAUUCAAAAUAUUUACAAGCCAAUGACAUAUAUACUAUUUCCUCUCCAACAUGGAGUACCUAUUUGCUAUAGUCACAUUAGCUCGUAUUUGUGGUCUUUGUUGACACAGCCCUGGUCUUUUCUUGUUUCUUUAAAUUUCCUCUAGUUCUCUGGUGUUUUGAAAAGUUUGAAAUGAAAUUUAUAACACUUAUCCAAAGCUAUAACUAAAAUGCAUAUUCUUAAUAGCCUAGAUGAAGAAGAAAGUAUCAUAUUCCAUUUUUCUGGUCAGUUUUAUAAUAAGAUCAAUUUGAAACACUGAUGUUUCAAGGUGAUUAGCUAUGAUUUCUAGUUAUAAGUUAGUGAGAGGUUCUUACUACAUCUUUAUUAUAGGUUUUAGCUAACAAAAUAAUGUAAGCUAAUUCGACUAUUAUAAAGACCAUGUAGAGGAGGAAAGAGCAUGGCUUAUUGUUUUGUGAACACUCUGCUGCUGGGUUUGUCUUCUUUUAGGCAGUGUAACACGACUUGUUUUGCAUAAAGCCACUUAAGGGACUUGAAAUACAACAUCUUUUGUAUGUAGCCUCUCUAGCUGCAUUAUUUCCGAAGAGCCAGCACAUCAAUCACAUCCACCUCCAGAUUUCUACUUCUGAUGACACAUGGCUGAGAACAAGGACGAGUUUCAUUCAGGCAAAGUCAAAUCCAGGCUCCCCGAAACCCAGAGUGAUUUUCAAGUCCUGUGUUCCUAAUGUGGAGUUUUCAAACCAUAUUCCACACAGAACCAGUAUUACCACAUGUUCCCUGUAGGGGGAUUAUAUAUCUUCUUCCUGCUGAUAUCACGUGACUUGCUUCAGCCAAUGAAAUGGCACAGGAGUGCCGUGUGCCACUCACAGAAAAAGCCCAAGACCUUCAUGAGGUUCUGCAGUUUUCCUUUUAUCUCCUCCAUGAGACCUACAAUAGCCCGAGUGGGAGUUGCUCUUUUAGCCUUGAUCCAAGAGUAAAGAUGUUGAAAAGAGCUACAGCCACCAAGCAGCUGUCAUGUAAAGUGAGUAAGAAAUAAAGCACGCUGUUGCAAACCACUGAAUUUUGUUACUGCAGCAUUCCAACCCAUCCCUCCUGAUGCAUUCCCAGCAUCAAAAGGGUUAUUGAAGAAAUUCUGGAAAUGAUGCAUAUGCUAUCCCACUCAAAAUAAUGCACAUUGGCAUUUUAAAGGAUGUUAAAAAAAAAUCCUUCAGGAAAUAAACCGGUUUACUACUGUGGUCUAGCAUUUUCCCAAUUAUCUUGAUUAAAGAAUAUUAUUUUUUAAUGUUUAUUUAUUGAUUUUGAGAGAGAGAGAGAGCAUGCGCACAUGUGUGAGCAGAGGAGGGGGAGGAAGAGGAGGAGAGAGAAAAAAAUCCCAAGCAGGCUCUGCAAUGUCAGCACAGAGAUGGAUAAAGGACUUGAUCUCAUGAGCCAUGAGAUCCUGACCUCAUCCAAAAGCAAGAGACAAAUGCUUAACCAAUGAGCCACCCAGGCACCCCAAGAAUUAUUUUUUAUAUAAU